AAAGCUCAAAUUUAAAAUCUGGCGGUCCUUGUGGUCGUCCGAGUUGUAAUCUAGAGAAGUGUUAUCCGCGCUGGACCGUGUACAAGUCUCCUGGAAUGGAGCGUCAUAGAGGGUGAGAAUCCCGUCUUUGACACGGACUACCAGGGCUUAUGUGAUAUGCUCUCGAAGAGUCGAGUUGUUUGGGAAUGCAGCUCAAAAUGGGUGGUAAAUUCCAUCUAAAGCUAAAUAUUGGGGAGAGACCGAUAGCGAA
rnacentral:rRNA from 1 species